AUACGGAGGAUGCGAGCGUUAUCCGGAUUUAUUGGGUUUAAAGGGUGCGUAGGCUGUUAUAUAAGUCAGUGGUGAAAUAUUUCAGCUUAACUGGAAGGGUGCCGUUGAUACUGUCAGGCUUGAAUUUAGUUGCUGUGGGUGGAAUGUGUGGUGUAGCGGUGAAAUGCAUAGAUAUCACACAGAAUAUCGAUUGCGAAGGCAGCUCACAAAGACUAAAAUUGACGCUGAUGCACGAAAGUGUGGGGAUC
rnacentral:rRNA from 1 species